CAGAGCUGCAGCCAAUGGCUCGCAGGCUAGCAACAGCUUUCAAAACAAAACAGCAUAAACACAAUCAACUCACUGUUGAAUACUAACACAUGGUACUUUGCUUUUUAUGAAAUAAAGAGAGCAUGGUAAAGGUCUAGAGCCUGCAUUAGCAUCAGUGGAGUUAUGACAGCUGCUACAGCCAGGGGGACUUUGCAAAACGCAUAGUUUGCUAUUUAAGUAAAAUAUCACUUCAACUGUAA